rnacentral:piRNA from 1 species
UACCUGCAAACCUUGAGUGCUCAAUGC